rnacentral:rRNA from 1 species
GAGAAUCUGCCCUCAGGAGGGGGAUAACAGCUGGAAACGGCUGCUAAUACCCCAUAUGCCGCGAGGUGAAAUGAAUUUCGCCUGAGGAUGAGCUCGCGUCUGAUUAGCUAGUUGGUGUAGGUAAAGGCUCACCAAGGCAUCGAUCAGUAGCUGGUCUGAGAGGAUGAUCAGCCACACUGGGACUGAGACACGGCCCAGACUCCUACGGGAGGCAGCAGUGGGGAAUUUUCCGCAAUGGGCGAAAGCCUGACGGAGCAACGCCGCGUGAGGGAUGAAGGCCUCUGGGCUGUAAACCUCUUUUAUCAAGGAAGAAGAUCUGACGGUACUUGAUGAAUAAGCCACGGCUAAUUCCGUGCCAGCAGCCGCGGUAAUACGGGAGUGGCAAGCGUUAUCCGGAAUUAUUGGGCGUAAAGCGUCCGCAGGCGGCCCUUCAAGUCUGCUGUUAAAAAGUGGAGCUUAACUCCAUCAUGGCAGUGGAAACUGUUGGGCUUGAGUGUGGUAGGGGCAGAGGGAAUUCCUGGUGUAGCGGUGAAAUGCGUAGAUGUCGGGAAGAACACCAGUGGCGAAGGCGCUCUGCUGGGCCAUCACUGACGCUCAUGGACGAAAGCCAGGGGAGCGAAAGGGAUUAGAUACCCCUGUAGUCCUGGCCGUAAACGAUGAACACUAGGUGUCGGGGGAAUCGACCCCCUCGGUGUCGUAGCCAACGCGUUAA